UGGGGAAUAUUGGACAAUGGGGGGAACCCUGAUCCAGCAAUGCCGCGUGUGUGAAGAAGGCCUGAGGGUUGUAAAGCACUUUCAGUGGGGAGGAGGGUUGAACGGUUAAGAGCUGAUUGACUGGACGUUACCCACAGAAGAAGCACCGGCUAACUCCGUGCCAGCAGCCGCGGUAAUACGGAGGGUGCGAGCGUUAAUCGGAAUUACUGGGCGUAAAGGGUGCGUAGGUUGUUGUGUAAGUUAUCUGUGAAAUUCCUGGGCUUAACCUGGGCAGGUCAGAUAAGACUGCAUGACUAGAGUAUGGGAGAGGGUAGUGGAAUUUCCGGUGUAGCGGUGAAAUGCGUAGAGAUCGGAAGGAACACCAGUGGCGAAGGCGGCUACCUGGCCUAAUACUGACACUGAGGCACGAAAGCGUGGGGAGCAAACA
rnacentral:rRNA from 1 species